CACCUCUAGCAUUACAAGUAUUAGAGGCAUUGCCUGCCCAGUGACUAUAGUUAAACGGCCGCGGUAUCCUGACCGUGCAAAGGUAGCAUAAUCAUUUGUUCCUUAAUUAGGGACUAGUAUGAAUGGCUAGACGAGGGAUCAACUGUCUCUUAUUUUUAAUCAGUGAAAUUGACCUUCCAGUGAAGAGGCUGGAAUACAAUAAUAAGACGAGAAGACCCUAUGGAGCUUAAAUUAACAAGCUUAAUUAUUACUUAAAUACCCUAAUGGAACAAAACAAAAAAACAUAAGCUUAAAAUUUUGGUUGGGGUGACCUCGGAGAACAAAAAAUCCUCCGAAAGAUAUAUAACAUAGACCUACAAGUCAAAGUAACUCAAUUAUCUUAUUGACCCAAAAAUUGAUCAACGGACCAAGUUACCCUAGGGAUAACAGCGCAAUCCUAUUUAAGAGUCCAUAUCGACAAUAGGGUUUACGACCUCGAUGUUGGAUCAGGACAUCCCAAUGGUGCAGAAGCUAUUAAUGGUUCGUUUGUUCAACG
rnacentral:rRNA from 1 species